GCCCGGGUGGUGAAAUCGGCAGACACAGCGGACUUAAAAUCCGUAGCCCUUUAGGGAGUGGGGGUUCAAGUCCCCCUCCGGGCA
rnacentral:tRNA from 1 species